UACAGAGGUCCCAAGCGUUGUUCGGAAUCACUGGGCUUGAAGGGCGCGUAGGCGGGCGCAUAAGUCAGGGGUGAAAGCCCACGGCUCAACCGUGGAAGAGCCUUUGAUACUGUGUGUCUUGAGGGAGGUAGGGGCGUGCGGAACUUCCGGUGGAGCGGUGAAAUGCGUAGAUAUCGGAAGGAACACCGGUGGCGAAAGCGGCGCGCUGGACCUCUUCUGACGCUGAGGCGCGAAAGCCAGGGGAGCAAACGGG
rnacentral:rRNA from 1 species